CCCUUAUGGGUAACCUCUAAUCAGCUAGAAAAGGUCUUAUGGUUGCACUGCCAAUCUCGGGUGACCGCUUACAAAUAAAUCCUCAAGUUGCUAAAAAAUCAUUUUUAUUGUUUGUUGCUUAAACAUUAAUCAAGUCAUAAGAUCAUAGUCACAGAAAGAAAACUCAAUGCUAUAGUUGCCUUGAUCCAAUUGCUCCUGCUGAUCCUAUUGGUCAUCAAGGUACUGAUCUUGGUCACCAAGUACUGCUCACCGUCUAUAGC
rnacentral:lncRNA from 1 species